AAAUUGAAGAGUUUGAUCAUGGCUCAGAUUGAACGCUGGCGGCAGGCCUAACACAUGCAAGUCGAACGGUAACAGGAAGCAGCUUGCUGCUUUGCUGACGAGUGGCGGACGGGUGAGUAAUGUCUGGGAAACUGCCUGAUGGAGGGGGAUAACUACUGGAAACGGUGGCUAAUACCGCAUAACGUCGCAAGACCAAAGAGGGGGACCUUCGGGCCUCUUGCCAUCAGAUGUGCCCAGAUGGGAUUAGCUUGUUGGUGAGGUAACGGCUCACCAAGGCGACGAUCCCUAGCUGGUCUGAGAGGAUGACCAGCCACACUGGAACUGAGACACGGUCCAGACUCCUACGGGAGGCAGCAGUGGGGAAUAUUGCACAAUGGGCGCAAGCCUGAUGCAGCCAUGCCGCGUGUAUGAAGAAGGCCUUCGGGUUGUAAAGUACUUUCAGCGGGGAGGAAGGUGUUGUGGUUAAUAACCACAGCAAUUGACGUUACCCGCAGAAGAAGCACCGGCUAACUCCGUGCCAGCAGCCGCGGUAAUACGGAGGGUGCAAGCGUUAAUCGGAAUUACUGGGCGUAAAGCGCACGCAGGCGGUCUGUCAAGUCGGAUGUGAAAUCCCCGGGCUCAACCUGGGAACUGCAUUCGAAACUGGCAGGCUUGAGUCUUGUAGAGGGGGGUAGAAUUCCAGGUGUAGCGGUGAAAUGCGUAGAGAUCUGGAGGAAUACCGGUGGCGAAGGCGGCCCCCUGGACAAAGACUGACGCUCAGGUGCGAAAGCGUGGGGAGCAAACAGGAUUAGAUACCCUGGUAGUCCACGCCGUAAACGAUGUCUACUUGGAGGUUGUGCCCUUGAGGCGUGGCUUCCGGAGCUAACGCGUUAAGUAGACCGCCUGGGGAGUACGGCCGCAAGGUUAAAACUCAAAUGAAUUGACGGGGGCCCGCACAAGCGGUGGAGCAUGUGGUUUAAUUCGAUGCAACGCGAAGAACCUUACCUGGUCUUGACAUCCACGGAAGAAUUCAGAGAUGGAUUUGUGCCUUCGGGAACCGUGAGACAGGUGCUGCAUGGCUGUCGUCAGCUCGUGUUGUGAAAUGUUGGGUUAAGUCCCGCAACGAGCGCAACCCUUAUCCUUUGUUGCCAGCGGUCCGGCCGGGAACUCAAAGGAGACUGCCAGUGAUAAACUGGAGGAAGGUGGGGAUGACGUCAAGUCAUCAUGGCCCUUACGACCAGGGCUACACACGUGCUACAAUGGCGCAUACAAAGAGAAGCGACCUCGCGAGAGCAAGCGGACCUCAUAAAGUGCGUCGUAGUCCGGAUUGGAGUCUGCAACUCGACUCCAUGAAGUCGGAAUCGCUAGUAAUCGUGGAUCAGAAUGCCACGGUGAAUACGUUCCCGGGCCUUGUACACACCGCCCGUCACACCAUGGGAGUGGGUUGCAAAAGAAGUAGGUAGCUUAACCUUCGGGAGGGCGCUUACCACUUUGUGAUUCAUGACUGGGGUGAAGUCGUAACAAGGUAACCGUAGGGGAACCUGCGGUUGGAUCACCUCCUUACCUUAAAGAA
rnacentral:rRNA from 3 species